AUGAAAAGUGGAACGUUUAGGCCAGCUGAACGACGAAGAGAAGGGGCCUGCAGCUCAAAGCCACAUUGGUGGGGGCUAACACAGAGCACAUACAAGACUAUGGAAUCUGUUUGGGGGCCUGUGCCUACAGUACGCCUCCCUCCAUUUCUUCAGAGCUCCAUCUCCAGCUGCCAAGCGGAGAUAACAAAAGCACUGGAUCCUGAGGAGGAUGGCAGAUGGCAGGAUGGCGCUGUGGCAGAGCCAAUGGGCUGUCAUCCACCGUACGCCCUGAUUACCAUAACAAAGUGUGUUUAUCACAUAGGAUUUCAAUCGCAUUACAAAAACCUCUCCAUCCAUCCGCCAUCUGAAAAAAAGGGGCGUAAGAUCUUCUGGGUGUUAAUAUUUACAUUUCACUAUGCUAGUUGAAAAACAUUUGAUUUUAGACAGCUUGACAGAUAUGAAAGGAAAAGGUCAACUAAGGUAAUGCAGUUCUGUGAAGCCACUAAGGACAGCUUGGCUUGCUUACUUGAGAUACUUGAUUCCACAUUCAUUCAUUCGCCAACUACUAGAAACAUUUGUAUCACUAGGUGAAAAGGGUCAAUAUCAGGGAAAUCUAGAAAAUCACACUGUAGGAUUUUUAAUGAAUUUAUUUGCAAAUUAUGGUGGAAAAUAAGUAUUUGGUCACCUACAAACAAGCAAGAUUUCUGGCUCUCACAGACCUGUAACUUCUUCUUUAAGAGGCUCCUCUAUCCUCCACUCGUUACCUGUAUAAUUGGCACCUGUUUGAACUUGUUAACAGUAUAAAAGACACCUGUCCACAACCUCAAACAGUCACACUCCAAACUCCACUAUGGCCAAGACCAAAGAGCUGUCAAAGGACACCAGAAACAAAAUUGUAGACCUGCACCAGGCUGGGAAGACUGAAUCUGCAAUAGGUAAGCAGCUUGGUUUGAAGAAAUCAACUGUGGGAGCAAUUAUUAGGAAAUGGAAGACAUACAAGACCACUGAUAAUCUCCCUCGAUCUGGGGCUCCACGCAAGAUCUCACCCCGUGGGGUCAAAAUGAUCACAAGAACGGUGAGAAAAAAUCCCAGAACCACACAGGGGGACCUAGUGAAUGACCUGCAGAGAGCUGGGACCAAAGUAACAAAGCCUACCAUCAGUAACACACUACGCCGCCAGGGACUCAAAUCCUGCAGUGCCAGACGUGUCCCCCUGCUUAAGCCAGUACAUGUCCA
rnacentral:lncRNA from 13 species